UAUGCCUGAAUCCUGAACUUGAAGUUCCGCAGGAAUGUCUGUCAUCCUUGGCUGCCACUAAAUUACAAUAGCGGCAAUCAUUGUAACAAUCCAGAAAUCCCCCCCAAUUCCCCAAACCCUCUGUAGGAUGCUGCACUGAAGCCUAGGGAUCACUAUAACUAAAGAAUAACAGUGAACUGCCAACAAAGUAACUAUGGAAUAGCUUAAGGAUCUGGGUGGGCUGCAAGAAUCAAAGCCAGCCAGGCUCACAGCAGGGCAUACUCCUGUUAAGGAACACUGGUGUCAUGAAGUUUGCAACUGGAUUUUAAUGCAAAGGUUCCAUUAAAGGUUCCAUUAAUGGGUUGAAAGGCCACCCAUUCAACCCAGCAGUAGGGCGCUUGUGUUCCCUGUUUCCAGUUGAAAGGCAAAAUUAAGCAUAAGGUAUUGUCAUGUUGCUCUUGAGGUUCUCAAUGUGUAGCUUCUUGGUAGAAUCUCCAUGUCUUGGGAGAUUCCCAGUCUAUGAGAAAGGAAAAACUGGAAAACCAGGUGAACUCCCUAAUCCAGCAGAUCUCAAUUUGUGCUGAAAGCAGAAACAUUUGGUGAACUGUUUAUAGUCCAUGGCCUCCUGUCAUAUGCAAGAACUCCAGAUAAAUUUACAAGAAAACAGUCCAGAUGUGCAAGAAGAUCUUCAGAUUUUCCCAUUUCCCAAUAGAAAGAUGCUGGAGCCAGGAAUUGUUCUAAAAUACAAAUGCCAGGGCCAUCAGAUUUACUAGGCUGAGGCAAGGCCCAGGUAACCAGAGUGACAAAUCACAUAAGUGACUUAGGAGUGUGUUCGUGUCACCUGUCUUGCAAAUUUUCGCCUCUGAAUUUCAGAUAUCCAAGUCUUCAGCUUCUCCUGCCACAGCCUCCGUGAAAGUGCAGCUGCCUUUUCUAUAGAUCACGGAAUUGAGAUGGAGCUGUGAAGAGUGUGGUCUCCAGCACCCGCAGCCUUGGGUUAAACAAUCACUCCAGUCAGCAUGUGAACUGGACCUGACCAGCUAAAGGAGAACCGCUCUUGAGGCAGCCCACAAGACCAGGACAGGCAAGUUGCUUAGGCUGUUUUCUCAGCCCGUCUGUGAGCACAUUGGCUGAGAUGAGUGCUGGUGCUGGUGAGCUCCUAGCAGUCUGUGACUUUAAUCUUCUUUAGAAGACUACCUGAAGUAGUUGAAGUCGGGGAAGAUGGUAUUUCUGAAUAAUUGUCACCUUUCAGUGCCAGGAAAAUGGCCGUUUGAAUUCUGAUGGCACCCUUGCUGCUUUGCAAGUCCUCCUGUCUUCACCCUGCCCUGGCUGCUGUCCUGUGACCAGUCCGCCACAGUAACAGGGCAUUUACCAGCAGGCUCUCUCUCUGAUCACUGGCUGACAGGGAGAUUUGAACUGCACCAAAGUAUCAACAACAAUCAGUCUGUUUCUGAAGAACUGGAGUUUCAGAGGGAAUGGUGUCCAGGGUCCUAACAGUGGAGAAGGCUGUAAGAGACAGAGCCAGUCAUCAAGGCAGGUAAAAUGUCCUGCACAGAAAAAACUCUCUUUUGAGAAAACAGCAAUGAAGCAAGUAUCAGUGACGUUGAAGGAUAUUUUCAAUGGGGAGGGACACCCUGAGUCCACUGGCUUUGGACCAAGGUCCAACCUUGGUGUACAACAGAAAAUUCCAAAGGGAGAUAAAUACCCGAUAUCCAGGGAACACUCCAAAGAUAGCCCAGAAUUCAUUCAGCACCCAAAACUCCUCCCACCAAAGAAACCCUGUAAAGGCAACCCAUGUGGGAGGGCGUCUGGACACCAGUCAGGCCUUAUUGUUCACAGGAGCAUUCAUGGCAGAGGAAAGCCUUUUGGAUGCCGCGAGUGUGGCAGGACUUUCGGUCGAAGCACACACCUUAUUGAACAUCAAAGAACUCACA